GAGCGACCCAGGUAGACGAUGUAGUCCUCCUUCUUUGGGUAAUCACUGUGGGAGAAGAUACCCAUCAAACAGCUUAGUCCCAUGAAAUCUGCCACUUCUUCCUUCCCUCCCUAGAGGCCUCAAAGCGCGACUUGUCCCCAAGGCCAUGGGCUGCAUGGACAGGGGCAGAUGAGGGAGAAAUGAGGCGGAAUACUUUGCUGGGAAGGAGAAAGGGAUGUGCUUGGGGUGGGGCAGAAGAGUCAAAGAGGAGAAACCCAGGGCCGUACAUGAAGCAGUGUGUGGCGCUGAUCACCCAGCAAGGGCUGAUGAGGCUGCCUCCACACAGGUAGGUGACAGAGCCCCCCCGGUGCCUCCUGUAGAUGGCCGCAAACCAGGGCUGGUUCUCGAUGGUGGUGAAUUCUCCCCCAAUAAUCUUAAAGCGGGGCCUCAGAGUCUUUUGGCCACACUGAAAUUUUAAUUCUUCUGGAGGAGAGGAGGGCUUUUUUCCUGGAGGACAAACAGAGGGAUGUCUUAGGGAGGCAGGUAGGAGAAAGCAUCCCUCUCGGGCACCCCCCACCUCCUCAGUCCUCCUGUGAUGGAAUAAGGGGACAUGCAAGUUCGUCCCCUUCCACCCCACUGUCAUCAGCAGGUCAGUGAUGCUCACCAUCUGCGCAGUCAUGCACCAUGCACUCUUGGACAAGCGGCUUUAGGCCCACCUGCACAUAGCACCAGGGUCGCCUCCGGUUGUCUGGGUUCCUGGCAACACAGAAAGAUAGGGGAUGUCAUUCCAACCCAGAGGGCCUUCCCUGCCUCCUCCCCUCAGGGAAGACUCAACCAGAGGCCGCGCUUCUCUUGUGCUAUGGCCAGCCCUCUGGGAGAAGGGGAUGGUAACAAGGUUUCUGGGAAGCUGUAGGGAGGGCUUUUGGUCCUUGUUGCCCCCACCUCACCUGCAGUAAUUAUGUUUCCCCAGGCCCAGCUGAAGAGCAUCAGAUCUGUGGGCAUGUUGCACCAGUGAAUGUUGGAGAAGUACUUGUUGGACACACAUGUUCCUCCAUUUAGACAGUCACAGUUCGCUGGAGAGAACAAAGCCAACUGUUGUAGGGGUGGAUACUCACAUGGAACUUGAUGAAGUUCAUUGCUGCCCUGGAAGAGAUUCGGGAGGAGGCUUCAUCAAAGGUCCCAUGCUCCAGGGACUCCAGGGUGAGGGUAAACUGGCCCCAAUCCCAAAACCCACUCUUCCCUCUCCCUCUUGCCUCACCCUGUUCGUAUCUAGUUCUCAAAUGGAAGACCAUGGGUUUCCAGCCAGGAGAAAUGGAUUGACCCAAGCAAGCUUCAUCUACCAGAUGCCCGCAGGCUGGGGCAGUCCCGGCGGCCUCUUCCUCCCUUGCCAGCCAGUGCCAACCCCCGUGGUUCUCAAGCAUCCGCUGCCACCCUGUCCCAUUUCCUGGGGAGAGCCUGACCGUGCUGUGGAUGGAAUCCGGAGGACCCCAGCUCCCUG
rnacentral:lncRNA from 1 species